GGGGCUGUAGCUCAGUUGGGAGAGCGUCUGCCUUGCACGCAGAGGGUCAGCGGUUCGAGUCCGCUCAGCUCCACCA
rnacentral:tRNA from 1 species